rnacentral:rRNA from 1 species
UACGUAGGGUGCGAGCGUUGUCCGGAAUUAUUGGGCGUAAAGAGCUCGUAGGCGGUGUGUCACGUCGGCCGUGAAAACCUGCAGCUUAACUGUGGGCGUGCGGUCGAUACGGGCAUCACUAGAGUUCGGCAGGGGAGACUGGAAUUCCUGGUGUAGCGGUGAAAUGCGCAGAUAUCAGGAGGAACACCGGUGGCGAAGGCGGGUCUCUGGGCCGAUACUGACGCUGAGGAGCGAAAGCAUGGGUAGCGAACAGG